rnacentral:rRNA from 1 species
GACGAACGCUGGCGGCGUGCUUAACACAUGCAAGUCGAACGGAAAGGCCCUGCUUUUGUGGGGUGCUCGAGUGGCGAACGGGUGAGUAACACGUGAGUAACCUGCCCUUGACUUUGGGAUAGCUUCAGGAAACUGGGGCUAAUACCGGAUAGGAGCUCCUGCUGCAUGGUGGGGGUUGGAAAGUUUCGGCGGUUGGGGAUGGACUCGCGGCUUAUCAGCUUGUUGGUGGGGUAGUGGCUUACCAAGGCUUUGACGGGUAGCCGGCCUGAGAGGGUGACCGGCCACAUUGGGACUGCGAUACGGCCCAGACUCCUACGGGAGGCAGCAGUGGGGAAUAUUGCACAAUGGGCGGAAGCCUGAUGCAGCAACGCCGCGUGCGGGAUGACGGCCUUCGGGUUAUAAACCGCUUUCGCCUGUGACGAAGCGUGAGUGACGGUAAUGGGUAAAGAAGCACCGGCUAACUACGUG